AUACGUAGGGUGCAAGCGUUAAUCGGAAUUACUGGGUGUAAAGGGAGCGCAGGCGGGACAGCAAGUUGGGUGUGAAAUACCGCAGCUCAACUGCGGAGCUGCAUCCAAAACUGUUGUUUUUGAGUGGUGUAGAGGUAGGAGGAAUUCCGAGUGUCGCGGUGAAAUGCGUAGAUAUUCGGAGGAACACCAGUGGCGAAGGCGGCCUACUGGGCUCUUACUGACGCUGAGGCUCGAAAGUGUGGGGAGCAAACAGGAUUAGAUACCCUGGUAGUCCACACUGUAAACGAUGAUUGCUAGGUGUGGGGGGUCUGACCCCUUCCGUGCCGGAGUUAACGCAAUAAGCAAUCCACCUGGGGAGUACGGCCGCAAGGUUGAAACUCAAAGGAAUUGACGGGG
rnacentral:rRNA from 1 species